GAGGGUAGAGCUCAGCGGUAGAGCACGUGUCUAGCAUGCAAGAGGUCUUGGGUUCACUCCCCAGUCCCUCCA
rfam:Camelus ferus unplaced genomic scaffold scaffold575, whole genome shotgun sequence.